rnacentral:rRNA from 1 species
UACGUAGGGUCCGAGCGUUGUCCGGAAUUACUGGGCGUAAAGAGCUCGUAGGUGGUUUGUCGCGUUGUUCGUGAAAACUCACAGCUCAACUGUGGGCGUUGCGGGCGAUACGGGGCAGACUAGAGUACUGCAGGGGAGACUGGAAUUCCUGGUGUAGCGGUGGAAUGCGCAGAUAUCAGGAGGAACACCGGUGGCGAAGGCGGGUCUCUGGGGCAGUAACUGACGCUGGAGGAGCGAAAGCCGUGGGGAGCGAACAGG